AAAAAACUUCCUGUUUGCACCCUAAUGGGCUACCCCCAAAUAAGAGGGUUGCAGAAAGUGAGAAUACCUGACAGUUUCCAAAGGGGGAUGACAAGAUCUUGGACACUACUCUCAAAGGCACAUUGUCCGAAAAGAAGAAUUAUGGGGCCUAAAGGCAUGGGGAGAAGCUCUGCUCUUCUACUCAUGGUUAUGACAGUGACCCAAACCAGCAAGAGAUAGUUAUAGAAGAUGGACCUUCACCCCUAAUUGCCCCUCAAGAAGGAAGAAUAAGACACAGGGCCAAGGAAGGAUUAAAACUCAUUAUCAGGUCCUGGGAAAUAGAAUCUGAUAAUAAAAUCGAAUCGUUUUUUCCUUUGUGCUUAGUUUCACUUGAUCGAAGGGUACUGCGUGCAGCGGCCUUCUACCCAGCAAUUCAGAUGAGAGUUCCUAGUGUGAAGCGGCUGCACCUGAUACUUGAGCUUGGCGUAGGUCUUGCAGAAGCUCUGCGCAUGACACCAGGGAUCGGCAGACCAAUGCGCGCCCAGCACGGUGAUCUGAGGCUUGAGCAGUGACACAGACGCUCACGCACACGCACACGCACACGCACACGCGCACACCCUCAGACGCACAAGAGCUCCGCCCCUUUCCGCUGACAGAAACAUAAAACCUUGCGUUUGGCUAUUACCUGUGUUCUUUCCUGAGGAGCCUGGGGUCUCGCACCUCUCCAUUCUUUGAUGAAGAACGAAACUUUCCUUCACUUCCGAACCGAACUCGGCCUGGUACUAUGGGCGACUGUGAGAAGUGGGGACCCCUACACCCUGUUUCUUCCUUCAGGAGUCUACAAAUUCUAACCACAUCCUCACUGAAGAUACAACUGGGAAAGAGCUGCUCUGUCUAGAAACCUAUCUUCGUUCAUUUGUUGGUACUGCUUCAUGCAGGUGGCAUAAGGAGACACAAAAGAUCCCUGGGUCUGGAAGAUCCCCUGAUGUUGAAAAUGACAACCCACUCCAGUAUUCUUGCCUAGAAAAUCCCAUGGACAGAGGAGCCUGAUGGUAAAGAAUCCACCUGCGAUGCAAGAGAUGUGGGUUUGAUCGCUGAGUUGGAAAGAUCCCCUGGACCAGGAAAUGGCAACCCACCCCAGUAUUCUUGCCUGGGAAAUCCCAUGGACAGAGGGGCCUGGUGGGGUACAGUCCCUGGGGUCACAAAAGACUCAGACAUGACUGAGCAUGCACAUGCAACAGAUUUUACCUGUCUUCCACCCAGCCUCACUUAAGACCCUAAGGUCAUUAAUCCAGGCUACCCACUGGAGAAAGGCACCGUUACCCUGUGGCCUGUCGUUACACUGCCUCUCCAGAUUUCGGCAUGGCCAUGUGGACUGAGGGUGGACUGGCAGGAUGCAGGCCCCAGUGCCGAAAUCAUAGGCAAGGGUGGUGGUAAUUCAGAGUGCCCUUACUGCUUGUAUUUUGCUUAGUGGUCAUGAUCUCCAUUGUUUUGUGCCUAUUAAACAUCUUAUGCUUUGUCCA
ensembl:lncRNA